CUGAACCGAUACCUGAGGCAGGCUUUCGAGCCUGAGGGGACAUUCCUGCUUUACGCAGGCGGUUGCACUGAGUGCAUCACCGAUGCCCCGCCAUACCUCAUCCGCUGCCGCUCUGGCGCACGGGUACCGUUCA
rnacentral:sRNA from 12 species